UACGGGGGGGAGCAAGCGUUGUUCGGAUUUACUGGGCGUAAAGGGCGCGUAGGCGGUCGUGACAAGUCACUUGUGAAAUCUCCGGGGCUUAACUCGGAACGGUCAAGUGAUACUGUCGGACUAGAGUACAGAAGGGGCAACUGGAAUUCUCGGGUGUAGCGGUGAAAUGCGUAGAUAUCGAGAGGAACACCUGCGGCGAAGGCGGGUUGCUGGGCUGAUACUGACGCUGAGGCGCGAAAGCCAGGGGAGCGAACGGG
rnacentral:rRNA from 1 species